GGUCGGCGUCGCGACGUUACGCAUGCGACUGGAGGCGGGGCUAGGUGCGGCGCCGCGUGGCCUUUUGGGACUUGUAGUCGGAGUGCUGGGUGGGGACCAUUUCUCUCUUCCCCGGAGUGGUCCAGGAACCGUGUCUGGCUCCAUUGCCAGGUGGCAGAGAAUAUCACAGAGCCAGCCCCUCAGGCUCCAUAAAUAGGGGCGUCCCCACAGUGACCUCGCUAAACUGUCAAGGGAGAGGAUGGAAAGGGCGAUGUUCUUAGCUGAGGAACUGGAGUCUAAGGAAGAGAAGGUUAUGUAUGGGUGGAGCAGCAACUGCUCUGCAGUCUAAGGUUAGGCUUAAAGAAACCUGGAUAACAUCCAGCUGUGAUGGGCCCUGGAUUCUGAACACAGCGUCAUUUACCAAGCAAGGGUGAUAUGACUGAAACAGGAGGAUUCAUAUGAAUGAAUCUACUGACAACAGUAUGCUCCUCCCCAAGCCCUGAACCUGCACACCACUGCUCUGUGGGUUCAAGAAUCUGGGUCGGCAGGAGGUAGGGGCUUGGAUGCCUCCCAACUAAGUUUCCUUGCAUCUGACCCAUCACCCCUCCUCCCAUACAGGGAGGACAAAAAGGCCAGAAUCUAGAUGUUUACUUUCUUGGGGAUAGUAACUGGCCUUUGAAAGUUCAGAUCAUAACUUGCCUGUUCAAUUGGGAAGAGGGAACUAAGCCAAAGUGAUCUUUAAAAAUAUAAUAAUGCCGAGUUAGAAAGCUGAGUCCUGAUUGGUGGGACGAUGAUGGGAUGACUUGAUUUUCCCAAAUCAUCUUUGGCAAAUGGAGAGCCCUACAAUAUGCUUAUUCCUUGCACAAUUGCCCAGUGCCAGGUCCCAGAGGCAGCUGAUGGAGCCCAGAAACUACUUAUAUGAUUCUUCUAGAGAGAGAGAGAGAGAGAGAGAGAGAGAGAGAGAGAGAGAAACAGAUACAUAUCCCUGUCCUCCCUCCAUCAGCCCACUCCCACUCUAGUAUAAUAUGUCCAAGAAGUCGUAAAUAGUCCUGCAGAGGGGAGAGGACAGACCCAAAGCUACCGGGGCAAGCUGUUACUGUGGAAAUGCGGAUGUACCAGCAGUGACCAAUACCUGCAUAACCUCAGAGAUAGGAACAAGGACAAAAAGCCCGAGAUUCAGAAACCUGCAGGGACUCGGUGGGGGUGGGGCUGAUCGCACACUGGCUGCACUGUGAGUCAGCAUAUGGGAAGUGCCGUCAUUCAGUCAUCCAAGGGACUCUCUCAUCUGCAACCUGGCUCCAAGUCAAGGAACAGAUAACAGGCUCAGACUUUGGAUUACGAUCAUUUUUUCAAAGAAGACAACAGAAACGAUCUGUUUACAAGGAUUUACAAACAGACCAAACCUGCUUGCUUUUUUUUUUUAAAUAAAAAAUAUACUAAAUGUGUCUGUUUUUUGAAUAUAGUGAGAAUAGGUCUGCUGCACACAGGCUGCUGAAAUUUCUAAGGGCGUCAUCCCAGAGGCCGGCCAGGCUGAGACGGGGCUAACUAACGAAAAAGCAGGGCUUGCCUGAAGAUGCCCUCCUGCCUCGUGGCACAGCACUCGGCUGAUCCAGGGUGGGGAUGGGACCCUGGCCAUCCCGUGGUCUCCUGCCCAUGAAAGCAUCUGCUUUCAGUCGUUGCGAGGAGCUGGGAGAAGCGUUUCUUUCCUGAUGUGGGAUGCUGGUGGCUGCUGUAGUACAUACAGUUUUGUCAUACAUGUGCGAUGCACUGUGUAGUGAUCUUACCCAACAUCUCUUUAAAAUACCAUGUGAAGUGUGGUAAAGAUACUACUUGGUGUCAGGCUCUUUCUCCUCAUUCUGCUCCCUCCCUCAACCCCUGGACAGCACACAAUCUCUCAGUGGGACGGCCAUCAAAUCAGCAUCUCCAGGCUGUGUUUCCAUACACCCCUUCUCUAUGUACUCACUAUAUACAUAGUACAUGCUGUCUUAAAACUUGAGUAAUCGUCCUAUCUUGACCCAUAAUUCCAGCCCUAGGAUUGUGGAUGCCCUACCAUACCUGGUUCAUGUUGGGCCGUUCAUUCAUAAUCAACCCACUUCUGACGCUACUAUCAGGCCUGGAGAACACCCAACACUUGCUUAAUGUGUGUUCCCAGGGAAUGGGAGUAGUGGGAGCGGCAGGGCACAUAAAUGUUUCAUUGAGGGCAUAAAGGUUUGGACCUUCUCUGCCCUACUUUCAGACAGACUACACCAUUUGGGCUUCCAGGCUGCUGGAGGAUCCGGCUCGCAUUUCACCUCUCUGCAGGACGCUUUUGGUGAAGCUAUUUGAGAAUCUCAUCCCCUUUCUGUCUUGGUUCGGUGAGAUGGGUCUCAGGGUGAGGGCUGAACUGGAUCCGGGUCUUAGAAGUUUCCAGACCAGCAGGCUGGAGUUGACGACCAGGGAAGCACGCCACCACCAGGAACAGAACAGCCCGUCCGCGCCCUCUGGUGGUCACAAAUUUUCUUACUUUCAGGGGCCCUUCUUUCUACCCCCACUUUCCCAUCUAUCUGCACGGCACCACCCGGUCACCUAGCAAAUGCCAGCCUGUGGUUCAGCCCAUAUUCCACCACCCACAGGAAAGAUUUAUGAAGACUGUCUUCCUGGGCAGAAAAUGUACGCAAGCCCUAGAUGUACCUGGUACUGCCUAGCUCCUUCCCUCUCCCCUCUAGUAGAACCAACCACAUGGCUUACCAAAAUUGCGUCCCGGCUAAGAGUACUACUUCCUGGGUGCCCAUCCCCCUCUCACCUUAUGCCUUAGACGCGCAGAGACAGGAACAUGGCAAAUCCUAGGAUAGCCUGGGCUACGUAGUAAGAGUGUCUCAGAAACAAUCAAUCAAAACAAAGCAAGGCAAGAGAGAAACUCUGUCACAUUUCUGUAAGCACCAUAACUCUGCUGCUCUUUCCAGCAAAUUCCUUGGGAAUAAGCAUAAUGAGACCUGCCCUGAACACUUCCAGCUCUCCUAUUGUAGUGGUUUGUAUAUGCUUGGCCCGGGGAGAGGCAAUGUUAGGAGGUGUGGCAAUGUUGGAGUAGGCAUGGCCCUAUUGGAGGAGGUGUGUCACCAUGGGGAUGGGCUUUGAGGCACUAUGCUCAAGCUCUGUGUAGAAGAGAACCUCCCGUUUGGCUGCUUGCAGAAGCCAGUCUUGUCUUGGUUGCCUCCAGCACCAAGUCUGCUUGUGCUUCCCACUGUGAUGAUAAUGGACUGUACUCUGAAUCUGUAAGCCAGUCCCCAUUAAAUGCUUUCCUUUAUAAGUGUUGUCUUGGUCAUGGUGACUCUUCACAGCACUGAAAACCCUAAGACACCUACCCAGUCCUUAUGUUCCCAGCGAGUGUCUUGGUUAAUAUCACCAACCCUCCACGCCUGGACAAAGCCGUGACUGGGUUUUGGUGUCCUCUCGCUUGAUACACUGAGAUCCUUGGCACUGCAGUCCUCACAGCCAGGCUGUGCUGACCCUUUCCCUCCCUCCUAAGGAGGCCGUGGUCCAGGGCUUGGUGUUAGUUCUCUUUGGUCUUGAACCAGCAUCUCUGCAGCCUGAUGUGCAGUGCAGCUGUACCUGCUGGCUCCCAACAUCAGAGGGGUAUUAGGGUGUGCUACAGCUGUUGAGUAAGUGUUCUAGAAAGUUCCAGGUUGAUUGGGAGUUUUUUAAUUCUUCUACAUCCUUCCUCUCCUCCUCCUCCUCCUUCACCUUCCUCCUCCUCUGUUUAUUCUUCUUUGUGCUCCAAAUUGAACUCAGGGUAUUGUACAUUCUUAGCAAUGCUCAGGGCUCUAGCCCUGGAUUAUCCCCCACCCUCUUACUAAUUGUCUAAUACACUUGCUCUGUGUUUUUAUUGAAAGAAGUAUUGAAAUCUCUGGUGGUUAAUUGUGGCUUUCUCUCUGCUCCCAAUUUCAUCUGUUAGCUGUGACCUCUGGAAUUAUUUUUCCGUCUGCUGUCAUCAGCCACUUCUGAUUUUCAGCCCCUUCAUCGGUUGUUCAUUUCUUCCUUCUGCCUUAUAUGAGGGGGCUCCAGGAACAUCUGGAGUAUAAAUGGUAGGGCGGUAAUGGGUAACAGGAGGGGCGGAGGGGCUGGGUCUCCAGACUAGACCUUGUCUCUUUGUAUGAACCCGGCAGUGCACGAUUACUGCAGCCUCUCCCCCCCCCCCCCUGAGGUAAGCUGUCUUCUGUCUCAGUAUCUUGCACCUUUGAGUCUGUUGUUGAGAAGGAUAUUCUCUGUUGUAGACUUUGGCUCCCAUCAGCAAAAAGUUCCGUAUCUAAAUUGGGAAGUAGCUCAUUCUUCAAGUCUGACGGUGAGGAGCAAAUCCUUAUAAAAUCUCUCCACAGUCAUGGAGGGGCACUCCCUCCUCUUCAGGCAAAAGAUGUGGCUGGAUGAUAUAGUUGCCAUGUUCUUGGAUGAGGGGGUGGCUGGGCAUUUCCCCUGGAUGGUCAGGAUCAGGUGGUCUUGUAACUGUCUUGGCACCAUGUGAUACAAGAUUUCAUCCUCUGUGUAGGUUAACAGGGGUGCUUCCUUGGUGUUUUUACAGGACUGAGCAGGUCUCACUUAAGGACCGUGCAGACCCAAGACCAGGCCGUUCCAUAAACAGGAGAUUCUGUGUAGCUCACCUGUGUGGUACAUAGGGCGGUGUGGCAAAGACCAGAUUUUUCCUCAAACAGGAGCCUGCCAGGGUUUUAGCUCAGUGGUAGAGCACUUGCCUAGCAAGCGCAAGGCCCUGGUUCGGUCCCCAGCUCUGAAAAAAACAAAACAAAACAAAACAAAACAAAAAAGCAAAAAACAGGAGCCUGCCUCACCUGCCUUACCUCUACCGCACAGUGACUUAAGACAUCUUACCUUAGGGCCAUAGAUAUAACCCUGUGCUUCCUAAUCUCUAUGAGACUUGAGUGUCCAGUCAGAUGAAAUGACCUCAGUGGAAGCACAGGUUGAAGCCCUGUCAGAUCCCACAGCCCGAGGGCUAUGGGGCCAUUACAAGCAUCUAUAUCCACCAUCCAUUUAGAAGCUACACAUCCAAAGUUGAAAUUGCUAGUGUUGGGAUCUGGAGAGAGAGGUGGGCAAUUGGGAGUGCUGCUGCUUUUCCAGAAGACCCAGGCUCAGUUCUCAGCACUCACAUAGCAGGUCACUGCUGUCUAUGGCUCUAAUUCUAGGGAUCUGACACCUUUAUAUAUGUAUACAAAACACUAAUGCACAUAAAAUAAAAAAUAAAUGGUUCUAAAAAAUUCCUAGUCUAUUUCUCUGGAGGCCAACAGAGUGCCUCAGUAUCCUCUUGAGGCUUUCAUCUGGAGACGUCAUGUCCUCAGCAUCCCACUGAGGCUUUGGAGGGGAUGCAGUCUCCUGCAGAGUGGUUAAGCCCACAACCGGUGCUUCUCGCCUGUCCCCAGGGGUCCUUACCUGGUCUGGACAUCCGAACUAGUCUCAUCCUCUUCCAGUCAGAGACGCUGGUCCUGCAUUUCUCAGUCCCCUUGGUCACUGAGAGGAGUCCCUGGAAUCCUGUCAGGGUGUGCACUUCCCAUUUCCAGAGACUUUCAGUGGGCUAAGAGGCCCAGGAACAGCGGUAGCCUCUUUCGACCAACUGGGUCUCAAUCAGUGAUAUCUUGCUGGGCCUCCAAAAAUGUGGGUUUUUUUCCCCCUAGAAUGAGCACUCUAAGACCAGUGACAACGAAAGCUGUCACCGGCGGACUGAAACCAGGAUAGCUUCUGACUGUGAAAAGCUUCCUUCUGGGUCUGGCUUAUAUUCUCAUUUCAUAUUCUAAAACCACAAGGUGGGGCAGGCGGGCAAGAGAGAUUUUGCAGAAGGUUCUGUGACAGUUGGCUGGUUGCUAAGGGCAGCGACCCAUCAUUUCUGUUAUUUCUCCAGGUCUCUUCUGUUUCAGUACAAUUAUACCACUUAAUUCGGUUUCCUGUAAAUGCGUGAGAUAUGAAUACAAGAAUAGCUCCUCCUAUGAGAACUGGGCAAAGGGCCGUCGAUGUGGAGUACUUGCCAGUAUGUAUGACGCCCUCAGUUUUGGCCCCAGCACUGCAUAAUCCUGCAUGUUUCCAAGCCAGCACUGGGAAGGUUGGUACAGGAGGAUGAGAUGUUCAAGGUCAUUCCUAGCUACGUUGCCCAGCCUUGCCUACCUGAGAUCACCCCUGCCUCCCCACAAAAGAACAAAGAGGAAAAAUCUAGAAAACAAAACCAAGCUGACCCUGUUGCUGGACACAUCUCCCACUCCAAGAACAGGGCCAGAAGCCCCUGUGCUGGGACUGACCUGAAAGCCUCCUCCCAGGGUACUGCCCACCACUCAUGGCACCAGAAGGCACCACGCAAGCUUCCAAAGGAGGGUGGCAGCCAACACUUCUACUUAGCUAUGAUGCCUGUGAGCCACAACAAUGACCAGCACGGCACAGCCACCCUAAGUGUGCAGUAGUGGCUCGCGUCCCUUGGCAGUUACUAACGGCUCUCCAAUUUGAUCUAAGAUUCACCGAACAAGAUGGAGAAUAUUCUAGGUAUGGAAACCUGCCUAUUAAGUGCUAUCGAAGCCAUGGUUCUUGGAGAACCUACAACCACUACUUGACUAAGACAACACAGUCCAUAACAAUCCAAACAUGUGUCCUUAUACCUACAUGUAAGUGUGGUCCUUACACCACACACACCCCCCCUCAAGGAACUUUUUUUCCAAGAGAUGGAGAUCAUUACGAUAACAAAACAAAACCCUACAACCAAACAGAAUGCAGAACUGUGGAGCCCAGUGCCAGUGGACACAAUGACAAAACAUCCUGCACCCAAGGCUCAGGGAACACUGUAGAAGAGAGGGUGGGUAGACUGGAAGAGCCAAGGGGACGGGGUUUUCUGUGGGGCUGUGUCUCCUAGGAACGCCAGGAAGUACACCCAUAAAGUCUCACCAACAUGACUGCCUAGACAGGAGGUGAGUAAGGUCACCAAUAGACAGGCCCAGGUGAGUGGCCUUGAUCCUACACAGGUAACUAGGGAAUGGUAGGAGUGGGAGACAUAGUCUUCCCUAGGCGAGAGUUUGUUUUUAUCAAACAACAAACUCUUUAUCCAAAGCCCUGAAAACAUCCAUAUGGCUAACAUACAGGCUGAGCAGGCUAUAUUCAGAAAUGUGUAUAUGUGUACAUAUAUGCAGAGAACAACCACUAGUGAGGUGAGAGGCCAUGGAUCUGAAAGAGAGCAAGAGGGGCCCAUGGGCUGUUUUGGGAGGAUGGUGCAUCUUAUCACAAUCUUAAAAUAGUAAAAUGAAGCCCAACAGCUUGAGGUUGAUCUCCAGGACCCACAAGCUGUCUGCCUGUCUCCACGAGUGUGGUGUGCACACACUUGUGCACGCACAUGUGCACACAUACACAAAUAAAAGAAAAUUUAAAGACUAAGCAGAGUGCUCACGAUGUUACUCCAAGUUAAAAGCAGGAUUUAACUCCAUGCAGAGUGCAAAUGCAGAGGCAGGAUGACCCUGACUUUGUCACUCAUCUAGAGACCACUUCCUGUCCAGUACCACCUAAGAAUACCAUAAGCCACCACACUAUAACAACACCAUAGGCAUAAACCAAUACCAACCUUAUUCCUAAAGGUAGAGCGUUAGCAUUCUUCAGGCUUAUUGAAGCAGACUGAAAAACUGAGCAUUGGGCUGAACAAAAACAGCAGGAAAUCAGGCUUCAAACUAGAAACGCACUAGACCAGUUAAGGCCCCACAAAAGCCAUAGCACCCUGACAUGGACCCUGGAACAAGGGUGUCUGACAUUGUGAUGACCACCCACUGAAGCAGAGACCUCAGAACUUUACCUAGGGUUUCAGGUCAGCCCUUCAGACUGCCGUCAACACACCUAGCCACUCAUCCAGCUACACCCGUCCUACACCUGAAACUACACCUGAGGCCUAAAUCCUUAUUCUUUCAGCUCCGUGUCUUCAACAGUUAUCCACUUGGACCCCUUAAUCCCUAAAUACUGUAUUUGUGCCAGGUGGUGGUGGUACAGUCCCUUAACCCCAACACUUGGGAGGCAAACUCUGUGUGUUUGAGGCCAGCCUGGUCUAGUGUGAGUUCCAGGGCAGUCAGAGCUACACAGAAACCCUACCUUGGAAAAACAAACAAACAAAACCAAGCAAACCAAACCAUCAAAUGUUGCAUUGGUAGCAGCUGUCUGGCUCUGCCUCCAGGAAGGCCUCUGUGAACUCACUGAACUCUAACCUUGUAUAGCCAUUCUGUAAUAAUUACAGUGUGCGGUGUAAUGUGUGAUCCGAGUUAUAAGUGAUUAAAACUGAAAACAGGACUACUCAAUAAAUCAAAUCAAUAAAA